CUCCUUACCCCGCUAUUGGUUUUGACAAUUUACUAGUGAUAAGAUGGUAAAUAAUUGAUGAGGUCACUUUUUCUGUGCAUACAGUGGGAACUAGUUAAAAAAAAUAAAGCCAGUUGUGUUUCUCCUUAUGAGUCUGCAUGCUGGCAAGAUAAAUAAAUAAACAAUUGCAUAGUUAGUUCCUCCUUGCUUCUUUAUUCCUAGGCUCUCGCACUUAUUAAUUUGCUUGCUAAUUUUCUGCUUGAUCACUGUGAUUAUACUCUUUUUGGUUCCUACUUGCCUUUUUAAUGUCGGUUUUUGACCUUAAGCGUGAUUGGCAGAUGAUUAUCCAUCCCCAAAGAGAAGUUCCCAUCGUUGCCCAAAAGGAAAUGCUCUGGACAUGCAGUGCGGGAAGCUCAGCGGGUGGGUGGUUGUGCUGAUCCUCACAUAUCUGGCAAUCUCUACAACAAAUUGAGCGUUCUUGGGAGAUGAUGCUAUUUUUGUUUAGUGUCAGGGAUCUGCCAGUUAACAUCAUGAUCUGUUUGGUAACACGGAGACUGUUGUCUUUCCUUCUCUCCACAACAGCAACUUCCUUUCUGUCUCAUCUGCUUCCACCUCGCUGUCUCUGUGAUGGAAAUCAACUUCAGUGAGCCUGUGAACGCUAAGUAGAUGAGUAACUACACUAAUGGAGAGAAAAAUACAGGGUGAACAGCCUGUUUCAUCUGCCCUGAGGGUGUCUUGGCGGUGGAGGAGAAGGGCUGGCAGUACCAUCGUCUCUGCACCAGCACUGCUGUGCUAGCUCCUUGUGCCAGGGAAGCAGCCCCUCACACCCCUGCAGCUGCCACUAGUGACACAGUGCUUAGUUUAUGGGGCUGAAACAGGCUGGAACAGAAGUUGGUGGCCCCACAUGCAGUACUGCAUCCAGACCUGGGGUGGCCAGCAUCCCUUGGAUGUGGAGCUGUUGGAGUGGGUCCAGAGAAGGGCCACAAAGAUGAACAGAGGUCUGGAGCACAUCUCCUAUGAAGGAAGGUGGAGGGAAAUGAGCUGGUUCAGCCUGGAGAAGAGAAGGCUGUAAGGAGACCUCACUGCAGGUCUUGAAGGAAGCUUCCCUUCAAGCUACAUUGUUGUACUUGAUGGGAUAGUAUUAACUAGGGGGAGAUCAACUUUUUACACAGGCGGAUAGUGAUAGGACAAGGGGAAAGGACUUUAAAAUAAAGUAGGGGAAAUUCAGGUGAGAUGUUACAUGGUAAUUCUUUACCCAGAGGGCGGUGAGGUGCUGGCACAGCUGCCCAGAGAAGCUGUGGUGCCCCAUCCCUGGAGGCGCUCAAGGCCAGGUUGGAUGGGGCCCUGGACAGCCUGAGCUGGUGGGGGGCAGCCCUGCCCACGGCAGGGGUUGGAACUGUAAUCUUUAAGGUUCCUUCCAACCCAAACUAUUCUCUGAUUCUGUGAUGGACGACUGCGCAUAUUUGACUUGGAGCUGUGGCUGCAGGCACAUGAAAUACCAGCCAAUAAUGCUGAGUGUUUUGCCAGUCUCUCUGCUACAGUUUGGAUUUCCCUGAUGCUGUUUUAUCAGCGUCCCUGCUUCGAUGUCUUGC
ensembl:lncRNA